CAACCUCUGAUCAGAGAGAUGUAUGUUG
rnacentral:ncRNA from 1 species